UGUGUCAGCACUGCUGGGAGAC
rnacentral:misc_RNA from 1 species